rnacentral:rRNA from 1 species
UACGGAGGGUGCAAGCGUUAUCCGGAUUCACUGGGUUUAAAGGGUGCGUAGGAGGGCAGGUAAGUCAGUGGUGAAAUCCUGGGGCUUAACCCCAGAACUGCCGUUGAUACUAUCGGUCUUGAAUAUCGUGGAGGUAAGCGGAAUAUGUCAUGUAGCGGUGAAAUGCUUAGAGAUGACAUAGAACACCAAUUGCGAAGGCAGCUUACUACCCGUUUAUUGACUCUGAGGCACGAAAGCGUGGGGAUCAAACAGG